AUGGAGCACGCGAUGCCGACGAUGGCCGCGGAGUCCGAGGGCGCGACCACCGACGACGACGUGCACCUCUCCCCGACCAGCGUCAGCAGCGGUGGUGGAGGAGGAGGAGGAGGAGGCCCCCCCAGCGUCCGCUUCAAGAUACUCUGCAGCUUCGGCGGCCGCAUCAUGCCCCGCCCGUCCGACGGCGCGCUCAAGUACAUUGGCGGCGACACCCGCGUCCUCGCCGUGCCCCGCUCCAUCCGCUUCCGCGAUUUGAAGAAGAAGGUGGAGGAGAUGUUCAAGACGGAUGUGGCGGCCAUCAAGUACCAGCUGCUCUCCUCCGACGACCUCGACGUGCUCGUGUCCGUCACCUGCGACGAGGACCUGGCCCACAUGCUCGACGAGUACGACCGGUUCGAGGCGAAGCGGUCGCCGUCCGCGUCGCCCCGUUUCCGCGUCUACGUCUUCGUGCCGCAUCAGGUCUCCGCCUCGUCGGCCGCCGCCGCCGUCGCCGCCCCCGUCUCCUCUUCGCGCCACGUCAGCUACGCCCGCAACCAGCCGCACUACCAUCCCCACCACCACCACCUCCAGCCGGAGCGGGAGCGCUACGUGGCCUCGGUGCCCGGCACGCCUGACGGAAGCCCGCCGUACCCGGACCAGCCCAACGGUGUCGCCUCGGCGGGGAACUCCCCGCGCGCCAACAUCGUGGAGCAGGCCGUGUUCCGCGGGGGGAUGCAGCGCGUCCGGAGCUCGCCCAACCUCGGCGGCCUGAACGCGGCACCGCUACCCUUCCAUGACCACGCCGGGGACAGCCCCGGAGGCCUGGCUGGAUACAUGAGCGGCUCGCCAGUGCACCCGGGCGCCGGCCACAUGUUCUCGCAGGGCAGCUACAACCCCUACCGCAGCCCGCAGCCGCAGUACUCUCCAGCGCCCGUGCCCGUGCCGCACCACGCCGGCGUGGCCGGGAGGUACGACUCGCGCGGCGGUUACGCGCGGGGCGGCAGCUACAAGGCGGCGCCGCUGGCGCCAGCGCUCCGGUCUGGUCGGCCGGUCAGCAGGAGCGGCGGGGCGCCGUACAGCGAGAUGCAGACGCCCAAGAAGGCGGCGACGAUCUGGGACUGA
rnacentral:rRNA from 1 species